GGUUGAUCCUGCCAGUGGUCAUAUGCUUGUCUCAAAGAUUAAGCCAUGCAUGUUUAAGCAGAAGCCGCACAACGGUAAAGCCGCGAAUGGCUCAUUACAACAGCCGUCGUUUCUUGGAUCUCUAAAUUUACUUGGAUAACUGUGGUAAUUCUAGAGCUAAUACACGCACUAAAGCUCUGACCUUACGGGACGAGCGCAUUUAUUAGAACAAAACCAAUCGGGUUUCGGCCCGUUCGUUGGUGACUCUGAAUAACUCUGCCGAUCGCACGGUCUCGCACCGGCGACGUAUCUUUCAAGUGUCUGCCUUAUCAACUUUCGAUGGUAGUUUAUGUGCCUACCAUGGUUGUAACGGGUAACGGAGAAUAAGGGUUCGACUCCGGAGAGGGAGCCUGAGAAACGGCUACCACAUCCAAGGAAGGCAGCAGGCGCGCAAAUUACCCACUCUCGGCACGAGGAGGUAGUGACGAAAAAUAACGAGACGGAUCUCUUUGAGGCCCGUUAUCGGAAUGAGAACAAUUCAAAUCCUUUAACGAGGAUCUAGCGGAGGGCAAGUCUGGUGCCAGCAGCCGCGGUAAUUCCAGCUCCGCAGGUGUAUAUCUAUGCUGCUGCGGUUAAAAAGCUCGUAGUUGGAUCUGCGUGCUCGGAACUGGUUGGCUCACUGAGCUCAUACUGGUCUCCGGCGCUUUAUUGGCUGGUUCUCCCUUGAUGCUCUUAACCGGGUGUCUUGGGUGGCUAGCACGUUUACUUUGAAAAAAUUAGAGUGCUCAAUACAGGCGCAAAGCCUUGAAUAGUGGUGCAUGGAAUAAUAGAAUAGGACCUCGGCUCUAUUUUGUUGGUUUUCGGAACGCGAGGUAAUGAUUAAGAGGGACAGACGGGGGCAUUCGUAUUGCGACGUUAGAGGUGAAAUUCUUGGAUCGUCGCAAGACGGACGACUGCGAAAGCAUUUGCCAAGAAUGUUUUCAUUAAUCAAGAACGAAAGUUAGAGGUUCGAAGGCGAUCAGAUACCGCCCUAGUUCUAACCGUAAACGAUGCCAACUAGCGAUUCGCAGGCGUUAAACAACGACCUUGCGGGCAGCUUCCCGGAAACGAAAGUGUUCGGGUUCCGGGGGAAGUAUGGUUGCAAAGCUGAAACUUAAAGGAAUUGACGGAAGGGCACCACCAGGAGUGGAGCCUGCGGCUUAAUUUGACCCAACACGGGAAAACUCACCCGGCCCGGACACCGUAAGGAUUGACAGAUUGAGAGCUCUUUCUUGAUUCGGUGGGUGGUGGUGCAUGGCCGUUCUUAGUUGGUGGAGCGAUUUGUCUGGUUUAUUCCGAUAACGAACGAGACUCUGGCCUACUAAAUAGUGGGCGGAUUCUUUCUGUCCGCAACACUUCUUAGAGGGACAAGC
rnacentral:rRNA from 1 species